AACGAAGGGCAAAAAACCACCUGCGAAGAAGCCAAGAAAGGAUGGGAAUGAAAGCAUUGCAAAAAGUGACAGCAGUGGGGAAUCCAGUGCAUCAACUAUUAUUCUAGAUAGAUCACCAGUUAGAUCGAUGGGCACCCCAGUGCACCACCAGGAUGGCAGUGAUGAAGAAUCUGGUUCAGCUCACUUCUUUGACAGCCACAAAACCCAGGCAAGACACUACAAGACACUUCAAGACAUGUACAAGACCAAAAAACCGAACAAAGCUGCUGUUACCCAACUGCUGAACCUGGAGUUUGAGUCUAGAAGACAAUUCAUUAACUCUGAUGCUAUAAAGGAGCAAGACAGAGCAGUGAAGAUACUAGAGGCGUAUCCUUGUUUCAGAGAACUGGAUCAUGUCCUUGAUGAGCUGCGGAGAAUUAUUCAACCAUCCAACUUGAAAUACAUUUCUGAGAUGAAGGAUAGAUGGGAAAUCUUCUACUCGAAGGUGCAGUUUUAUGGUGUCAUGAAGAAAGUUAUGAAGCCGCCAAAAACUUUGGAUGGAGUGGAACAUGCAGCAGCUGUGUUCGGAGCCCUUCCCAUGCUUUUCCCUUCCAGCACAGUACCACCUAAGAAGCUGGGCAUCUGUAGUGAGGCUUUUUUCCAUGUCCUAAAGACUUCAGAAGACCCUGAAGGCUACCUGCGUCAGCGACCCCUGGCUUGUCCAGUUCUGCUUGUCUCUGAAGGCAACUGCAUGAUAGCUGUUGGAACCACAGCGGUGAGCACUUUUGACCGGAAGGAUCUUAAUGAGGGACUGCUCUAUCUGAUGGCAUAUUACUAUGCCCUCCACCUCACAUAUCCAAAGUGCAUUUCCACGCUGCUGUCUGUCUUGCAAACUGAAAUACUCAAAGACUCCAUCCAUGACCGAGAUUCAACCCCCUCUUACAGGAAGGCUCUUGGUGAGUGGAAGUCAUUCAUUGAGUGAGUCUCUCAGAUGACAGACUCCAUCUGCCUUGUUUAUCAGUCUCAGUGUUAGUCAGUGAGGUUGUUUUUCUUUUCUUUUUUUUCUCUAGAAAAGUUGUUCAAAUGUAAAACACAUGUUUGUUUGUGUGGUCGUUAAACUUGUUCUUCUAAAAUGUUAUGUAAUAUAGUAUUUGCAAUAGUGAUUGUUUUAAGCUUCAGCAAAAUUUAUUUUUGAUACCAGCCAUGUUAUACUGUUAUUAUUCAUGUUAAGAGCACUUGGCCAUGUUACACCCUGCUGAAAUGUAUAAUUUUAGACAUGAUUCUACUGACCCAAUAAAGCGCA
ensembl:lncRNA